rfam:Schistosoma mansoni, Puerto Rico, WGS project CABG01000000 data, contig: 0077
AUUCAGCUGACGAGUCCCACACAGAACGAAACGCGCGUCCUGUAU